rnacentral:lncRNA from 1 species
UUCUGUGCUAAGAGAAGGCAGAGAAGAUGUUGUUGAAUUUGUGAAUGGUGCAAGUCUCUAACGGAUGCUAUUUGGAUGAAAGAAUUAGUGUUCCGUAAGAUCUUGAAAAGGGGAUGAAAAAAACAGCUCUCCUGCCCGGCACUGAGAAGUGCAAAAAUACCGAGAAAGAAGAAUUUCACAGGAAUAAGAUGAUGCUUCAUAAUGUUUUGUAACAUUAGAUCAUCUUUC